UACGUAGGUGGCAAGCGUUGUCCGGAUUUACUGGGCGUAAAGAGCGCGCAGGCGGUCGAUCAAGUCGCGUGUGAAAGCCCCCGGCUCAACUGGGGAGGGUCACGCGAUACUGAUCGACUCGAAGGCAGGAGAGGGUAGUGGAAUUCCCGGUGUAGUGGUGAAAUGCGCAGAUAUCAGGAAGAACACCCGUGGCGAAGGCGGCUCUCUGGAACGCAACUGACGCUGAGACGCGAAAGCGUGGGGAGCGAACAGG
rnacentral:rRNA from 1 species